rnacentral:rRNA from 1 species
AUUGAACGCUGGCGGCACGCUUUACACAUGCAAGUCGAACGGUAACAGGCCGCAAGGUGCUGACGAGUGGCGAACGGGUGAGUAAUGCAUCGGAACGUGCCCAGUCGUGGGGGAUAACUACUCGAAAGAGUAGCUAAUACCGCAUACGAUCUAUGGAUGAAAGCGGGGGACCGUAAGGCCUCGCGCGAUUGGAGCGGCCGAUGUCAGAUUAGGUAGUUGGUGGGGUAAAGGCUCACCAAGCCAACGAUCUGUAGCUGGUCUGAGGGGACGACCAGCCACACUGGGACUGAGACACGGCCCAGACUCCUACGGGAGGCAGCAGUGGGGAAUUUUGGACAAUGGGCGCAAGCCUGAUCCAGCAAUGCCGCGUGCAGGAAGAAGGCCUUCGGGUUGUAAACUGCUUUUGUACGGAACGAAACGGCUCUGGUUAAUACCCGGGGCUAAUGACGGUACCGUAAGAAUAAGCACCGGCUAACUACGUG